GACGAACGCUGGCGGCGUGCUUAACACAUGCAAGUCGAACGGAAAGGCCCUGCUUGCAGGGUACUCGAGUGGCGAACGGGUGAGUAACACGUGGGUGAUCUGCCCUGCACUUCGGGAUAAGCCUGGGAAACUGGGUCUAAUACCGGAUAGGAGCCAUUUUUAGGGUGAUGGUUGGAAAGUUUUUUCGGUGUAGAAUGAGCUCGCGGCCUAUCAGCUUGUUGGUGGGGUAAUGGCCUACCAAGGCGGCGACGGGUAGCCGGCCUGAGAGGGUGGACGGCCACAUUGGGACUGAGAUACGGCCCAGACUCCUACGGGAGGCAGCGGUGGGGAAUAUUGCACAAUGGGCGCAAGCCUGAUGCAGCGACGCCGCGUGGGGGAUGACGGCCUUCGGGUUGUAAACUCCUUUCGCUAGGGACGAAGCUUUUUGUGACGGUACCUAGAUAAGAAGCACCGGCUAACUACGUG
rnacentral:rRNA from 1 species